rnacentral:rRNA from 1 species
GCUAUACAUGCAAGUCGAGCGAACAGACAAGGAGCUUGCUCCUUUGACGUUAGCGGCGGACGGGUGAGUAACACGUGGGUAACCUACCUAUAAGACUGGGAUAACUUCGGGAAACCGGAGCUAAUACCGGAUAAUAUUUCGAACCGCAUGGUUCGAUAGUGAAAGAUGGUUUUGCUAUCACUUAUAGAUGGACCCGCGCCGUAUUAGCUAGUUGGUAAGGUAACGGCUUACCAAGGCGACGAUACGUAGCCGACCUGAGAGGGUGAUCGGCCACACUGGAACUGAGACACGGUCCAGACUCCUACGGGAGGCAGCAGUAGGGAAUCUUCCGCAAUGGGCGAAAGCCUGACGGAGCAACGCCGCGUGAGUGAUGAAGGUCUUCGGAUCGUAAAACUCUGUUAUUAGGGAAGAACAUACGUGUAAGUAACUAUGCACGUCUUGACGGUACCUAAUCAGAAAGCCACGGCUAACUACGUGCCAGCAGCGGCCGGUAAUAAA